rfam:Trichosporon asahii var. asahii CBS 8904 unplaced genomic scaffold scaffold00017, whole genome shotgun sequence.
GGUCUGAUCGUAUAACGGUUAGUACACAAGAUUCUGACUCAACUCCACCUUCUCGCCUCCUCGCGAGGACAACAAAGUCGUUCUUGUAAUCUGGGUUCGAUUCCCAGUCGGACCU